AACGAACGCUGGCGGCAUGCCUAACACAUGCAAGUCGAACGAGACCUUCGGGUCUAGUGGCGCACGGGUGCGUAACGCGUGGGAACCUGCCCUUAGGUUCGGAGUAACUCCCCGAAAGGGGUGCUAAUACCGGAUAAUGUCUUCGGACCAAAGAUUUAUCGCCUUUGGAUGGGCCCGCGUUGGAUUAGCUAGUUGGUAGGGUAAAAGCCUACCAAGGCGACGAUCCAUAGCUGGUCUGAGAGGAUGAUCAGCCACACUGGGACUGAGACACGGCCCAGACUCCUACGGGAGGCAGCAGUGGGGAAUAUUGGACAAUGGGCGAAAGCCAGAUCCAGCAAUGCCGCGUGAGUGAUGAAGGCCUUAGGGUUGUAAAGCUCUUUUACCCGGGAUGAUGAUGACAGUACCGGGAGAAUAAGCUCCGGCUAACUCCGUG
rnacentral:rRNA from 1 species